rnacentral:rRNA from 1 species
GAGUAAUGUCUGGGAAACUGCCUGAUGGAGGGGGAUAACUACUGGAAACGGUAGCUAAUACCGCAUAACGUCGCAAGACCAAAGAGGGGGACCUUCGGGCCUCUUGCCAUCGGAUGUGCCCAGAUGGGAUUAGCUAGUAGGUGGGGUAACGGCUCACCUAGGCGACGAUCCCUAGCUGGUCUGAGAGGAUGACCAGCCACACUGGAACUGAGACACGGUCCAGACUCCUACGGGAGGCAGCAGUGGGGAAUAUUGCACAAUGGGCGCAAGCCUGAUGCAGCCAUGCCGCGUGUA